AUCUUUAACAUGCAGUCGAACGGCAGCGCGAGAGAGCUUGCUCUCUUGGCGGCGAGUGGCGGACGGGUGAGUAAUAUAUCGGAACGUGCCCAGUAGCGGGGGAUAACUACUCGAAAGAGUGGCUAAUACCGCAUACGCCCUACGGGGGAAAGGGGGGGAUCGCAAGACCUCUCACUAUUGGAGCGGCCGAUAUCGGAUUAGCUAGUUGGUGGGGUAAAGGCUCACCAAGGCAACGAUCCGUAGCUGGUUUGAGAGGACGACCAGCCACACUGGGACUGAGACACGGCCCAGACUCCUACGGGAGGCAGCAGUGGGGAAUUUUGGACAAUGGGGGAAACCCUGAUCCAGCCAUCCCGCGUGUAUGAUGAAGGCCUUCGGGUUGUAAAGUACUUUUGGCAGAGAAGAAAAGGUAUCCCCUAAUACGGGAUACUGCUGACGGUAUCUGCAGAAUAAGCACCGGCUAACUACGUGCCAGCAGCCGCGGUAAUACGUAGGGUGCAAGCGUUAAUCGGAAUUACUGGGCGUAAAGCGUGUGUAGGCGGUUCGGAAAGAAAGAUGUGAAAUCCCAGGGCUCAACCUUGGAACUGCAUUUUUAACUGCUGAAGCUAGAGUAUGUCAGAGGGGGGUAGAAUUCCACGUGUAGCAGUGAAAUGCGUAGAUAUGUGGAGGAAUACCGAUGG
rnacentral:rRNA from 1 species